rnacentral:rRNA from 1 species
CGUUCCCGGGCUUGUACACACCGCCCGUCACACCACGAAAGUCGGUAACACCCGAAGCCAGUGGCCCAACCCUUUGGGAGGGAGCUGUCGAAGGUGGGAUCGGCGAUUGGGGUG